GGGGUUGUGGCUCAGAGGUAGAGCGCUUGCCUAGCAUGUGUGAGGCACUGGGUUCGAUCCCAGCACCG
rnacentral:tRNA from 1 species